GAAGAGAACUGCUCUGCUCCAGUACGAGACUCACAACUCUGAUGAGGUUUGCUGAAGUAUGACCAUAUGACAGAAGGAGAGAACAGCUCUGCUCCAGUACGAGACCCACAACUCUCUUAUGAGCUUUUAUUGAAGGAUGACCAUAUGACAGAGGAAGAGAAC